rnacentral:rRNA from 1 species
GACGAACGCUGGCGGCGUGCUUAACACAUGCAAGUCGAACGCUGAAGCUCAGCUUUUGUUGGGUGGAUGAGUGGCGAACGGGUGAGUAACACGUGAGUAACCUGCCCCCUUCUUUGGGAUAACGCCCGGAAACGGGUGCUAAUACUGGAUAUUCACUGGUCUUCGCAUGGGGGUUGGUGGAAAGGGUUUUUCUGGUGGGGGAUGGGCUCGCGGCCUAUCAGCUUGUUGGUGGGGUGAUGGCCUACCAAGGCUUUGACGGGUAGCCGGCCUGAGAGGGUGACCGGUCACAUUGGGACUGAGAUACGGCCCAGACUCCUACGGGAGGCAGCAGUGGGGAAUAUUACACAAUGGGCGCAAGCCUGAUGCAGCGACGCCGCGUGAGGGAUGGAGGCCUUCGGGUUGUGAACCUCUUUCGCUCAUGGUCAAGCCGCAACAAUGGUUGUGGUGAGGGUAGUGGGUAAAGAAGCGCCGGCUAACUACGUG